rnacentral:rRNA from 1 species
UACAGAGGGGGCAGGCGUUAUUCGGAAUUAUUGGGCGUAAAGGGCGCGUAGGCGGCCUGACAAGUGGAAGGUGAAAUCCCUCGGCUCAACUGAGGAACUGCCCUCCAAACUGUUUGGCUUGAGACCGGGAGAGGUGAGUGGAAUUCCCAGUGUAGCGGUGAAAUGCGUAGAUAUUGGGAGGAACACCAGUGGCGAAGGCGGCUCACUGGACCGGUACUGACGCUGAGGCGCGAAAGCGUGGGGAGCAAACGGG